AGAAAUUUGAGAGGAGUCAGUCGUGAAGUUUAACGGACCAUCGUCGGAAUCCACCUUCAGAUGAGGCUUGUACAAGGAUUGAGAGGUUAUCGAGGCCGACGCUCCGUCAAGACCCAAGAACAUUUUGCGAGGAACAACUCUACGCACGAUCUGUGAAGAAGUUUGGCCAAGACCUCAACCCGAAGGCGGAGAUCCGAGAAUCAUCCGAGAACGGUGAGCGAAAUUUUGACGCUCUUAACUCGUCCAGUAGUGAAGCAAAA